ACUAAAACAUGACCCAACAAAACCUAUAUUAAAAAAACAAUUAUUUAUUUACGUCUAAUCUCACUAUCAAUAAAUCAAGUACUAUAAAGGAAUAACAAACUGAACAAAAGUAGUGACACACCCACGUACCUUGUGCAUUAUGGUUUUACAAGAAUAUAAUUAAAUACAAAAUUCCCGAAUUCUACACGAGCUGCUAAAACGCUGUUAAGAACCCACUACUAGUUGUAGCACCAACCUUAGAAAACCUUUUAGCAGAGGCUACAUACCAUGCGCGUAAGAAAAUUGCUGGUUCUCAGUAAAAUUUAUCAAUUAAAACAUGUAAUUACAAUUACAGUGUAACCCUACAGAGGACAAGCCCUGUAAAAAAAGCUUUUUAAAACUAAAAACAAUCUUAUGUAUAGGCCUAAAAACAGCCACUAAAAAUACUUUACCGUAAACAAACCUCUU
rnacentral:rRNA from 1 species